rnacentral:rRNA from 1 species
CCUACGUGAGGCAGCAGUGAGGAAUAUUGGUCAAUGGCCGCGAGGCUGAACCAGCCAAGUCGCGUGAGGGAAGACUGUCCUAUGGGUUGUACACCUCUUUUCUAAGGGAGCAAAGUCACCCACGUGUGGGUUUUGGAAAGUACCUGAUGAAAAAGCAUCGGCUAACUCCGUGCCAGCAGCCGCGGUAAUACGGAGGAUGCGAGCGUUAUCCGGAUUUCUUGGGUUUAAAGGGUGCGUAGGCGGGUUAUCAAGUCAGCGGUAAAAUCUUGGGGCUCAACUCCAUCCAGCCGUUGAAACUGUUGGUCUUGAGUGGGCGAGAAGUAUGCGGAAUGCGUGGUGUAGCGGUGAAAUGCAUAGAUAUCACGCAGAACUCCGAUUGCGAAGGCAGCAUACCGGCGCCCGACUGACGCUGAGGCACGAAAGCGUGGGUAUCGAACAGGAUUAGAUACCCCGGUAGUC